rnacentral:lncRNA from 10 species
AAGCCAGUUGUACAGGAACUGCCAAAGGCAACAGAAAUUCUUUCUCCCUAUGUCCCAGCCUACCCCCACUUUACCGAGGCCAACAGCCGCCUCAGAAACCAGAUUCAGGAGCUAACAUGCCCCAGGUCUCACGAGGAUCAGAGACUCCAGAGGCCAGGGAAGGAGAUCAAGGUAGUCAAGCGGGGGUCGUCUCAGAUCUGGUUGUGCUCGAGCUAUGCAAAUGCCUCUCACGGAGAUGCGAGGACCUAUCUAUUAUGAUGACCAGGGCCACAUCCGGAGGGGGCAACAGACUUUCAUCUAUCAGCCCUUUUCAACCACUGAUCUACUAAACUGGAAACACUCUGAACCCUGCCAUCUUGCUCCUGGUAUCAGAGAGCCCUGUCGUGCAUAACUGUGUAGAAGUGUUGGACUCGGUUUACUCCAGCAGACCUGAUCUCCGGGACCAGCCUUGGGCAUCAGUAGACUGGAAGCUAUAUGUGGACAGGAGCAGCUUCAUCAACCCACAAGGAGAGAGAUGUGCGGGAUAUGUGGUGGAACCCUGGACACUGUCGUUGAAGCCAGAUCGUUGCUCCAAGGCACUUCAGCCCAGAAAGAUGAGCUCAUUGCUUUAAUUUGGGCCUUAGAACUCAGUUAAGGCCUUCUACGGUCCCAGGCUUUCUGCUGCAUACACUGAAGGGCCACGAAGUACAGUCAUCUGGACUUGGCACCUGGAAUACAAGGAUGGAAAGCAUCAUUUCUGCCAGCUUCUUAUGGUCCUGAGGCGAGACAGUCAUGAGAGAGGAAAACUGCAAUGACUUCUGACCACUGCCAGCCUCGCUUCCUGCAUUUUCUUCUUCGGCUUACUCUUGCCAAGUUGGAGUUGCCUAACUUCCAAGAGGGCACAGCUGCUUAAAGACUGUUACCGGAAAGGAAUCCUGAUCCAGACGCCAAGAGAGGGUUCUUGGACUCAUGCAAGA